rnacentral:rRNA from 1 species
UACAGAGGUCCCAAGCGUUGUUCGGAUUCACUGGGCGUAAAGGGUGCGUAGGUGGUUAGGUAAGUCCGAUGUGAAAUCUCCAGGCUCAACCUGGAAAUGGCAUUGGAUACUAUUUAGCUUGAGGAGUGGAGGGGGGACUGGAAUUCUCGGUGUAGCAGUGAAAUGCGUAGAUAUCGAGAGGAACACCAGUGGCGAAGGCGAGUCCCUGGACACUUCCUGACACUGAGGCACGAAGGCCAGGGGAGCAAACGGG